rnacentral:rRNA from 1 species
AACGAACGCUGGCGGCGCGCCUAAUACAUGCAAGUCGAGCGAGAAGACGUAGCAAUACGUUUGUAAAGCGGCGAACGGGUGAGGAAUACAUGGGUAACCUGCCCUCGAGUGGGGAAUAACUAGCCGAAAGGUUAGCUAAUACCGCGUACGCUCCUUGGACUUCGGUUCAGGGAGGAAAGCGAUACCGUGGGUAUCGCGCUCUUGGAUGGGCUCAUGUCCUAUCAGCUUGNGGUGAGGUAACGGCUCACCAAGGCUUCGACGGGUAGCUGGUCUGAGAGGACGAUCAGCCACACUGGCACUGCGACACGGGCCAGACUCCUACGGGAGGCAGCAGUAAGGAAUAUUGCGCAAUGGGCGAAAGCCUGACGCAGCGACGCCGCGUGGGGGAU